ACAAGAUAAGAUAAGCCCAGGACAAGCUAUCACCAAACGGGAGGGCGAGGGGCAACAGGACACACACACUGACCUAGCACCAGCUCGAUCUCACAGGAUGGUUACGCUAUGCCAUCCGAUUCGGAUCCGAGCAAGCGGGAGCACCGCGAGCUGGCGGAGGAGAAAUGCGGCGGCGGCGGCGAAGGUCCUCUGCUCCGUGCAGCAAAUGCCGCCGCCGCCGCCGGCGGCCACGGCUGCCCAGAGCACGAUCAAGGUCGUUAUCGUUGGGGCAACGAAAGAGAUCGGGAGGACGGCCGUCGUUGCGGUGAGCAAGGCCAGGGGAAUGGAGCUCGCGGGCGCGAUCGACUCGCAGUGCAUUGGCGAGGACGCGGGACAGAUAAGUGGCAUGGACGAGCCGCUGGAGAUCCCUGUGCUGAACGACCUCACCAUGGUUCUGGGCUCCAUAGCGCAGUCGAGAGCAACCGGCGUGGUGGUCGACUUCAGCGAGCCUUCAGCUGUUUACGACAAUGUCAAGCAGGCAGCGGCGUUUGGUCUGAGCAGCGUCGUCUACGUUCCGAAAAUCGAGCUAGAGACAGUGACUGAACUGUCAGCGUUCUGCGAGAAGGCAAGCGUGGGCUGCUUGGUUGCGCCAACGCUGUCGAUUGGGUCCGUGCUCCUUCAGCAAGCGGCUAUACAGGCCUCGUUCCACUACAGCAACGUUGAGAUUGUGGAAUCGAGACCAAACCCAUCGGAUCUUCCAUCGCAAGAUGCAAUCCAGAUUGCAAACAACAUAUCAGACCUUGGUCAGAUAUACAACAGGGAAGAUAUGGAUUCCAGCAGUCCAAGGCCAGCUGCUCGGGGAAGACGGAGUGCGCGUGCACAGCAUGGUUCUCCCUGGUCUCGUCUCCAGCACGUCGAUCAACUUCUCUGGCCCAGGAGAGAUGUACACCUUACGGCAUGACGUUGCGAAUGUUCAGUGCCUGAUGCCAGGACUGAUCCUGGCGAUACGGAAGGUGGUGCGGUUCAAGAACUUGAUUUAUGGGCUAGAGAAGUUCUUGUAGUGAACAACAAACAACCAAUGCAAAACAUCGACAGGCAACAGGCAAGGCAGAUAUCAUCUGACGUCGCAACAACCAAAACGACAGAGAUUUGGAAAAUAAAGGCUGCACAGAAGACGUCUGGGGUUUUGUGUGCACCAGGCUGCGCAGAGAACGUCUGUCAUUUUGUGUGCACCACUACGGCACUACCUGCUGAGCGCGAUUUUUAUAAAAAAGGCAUGGGAGGGAGAUCAUACACAGGAAAAGUCACGAAGGAAAAAGGGGUCACAUGGACAUACAGGUAUUGGUAGCAUAACCAAAACAAUGGAUCUGAUUCUGCGAUUCGGUUCCAUCGGCAUAUGCUUGUUCAGAAGAAAGUUGCAUCGGGACUUGAAGAAAAGGAGGGUCUAGUUUGCGUUUUGUAACCGAGACUGCGUAAUUCGGCAUGCGUAUGGCAAUCCAAAUUGCGCCAGACUAAUCCAGAUUCAAUUUUAUAAAAUGGAUAAAACAUAAAAAAGACAUAUAACAUUCCUCUCCCCCCGUUUCUUA